rnacentral:rRNA from 1 species
CGAACGAAACUUUCUUACACCGAAUGCUUGCAUUCACCGUAAGAAGUUGAGUGGCGGACGGGUGAGUAACACGUGGGUAACCUGCCUAAAAGAAGGGGAUAACACUUGGAAACCAGGUGCUAAUACCGUAUAUCUCUAAGGAUCGCAUGAUUCUUAGAUGAAAGAUGGUUCUGCUAUCGCUUUUAGAUGGACCCGCGGCGUAUUAACUAGUUGGUGGGGUAACGGCCUACCAAGGUGAUGAUACGUAGCCGAACUGAGAGGUUGAUCGGCCGCAUUGGGACUGAGACACGGCCCAAACUCCUACGGGAGGCCAGCAGUAGGGAAUCUUCCACAAUGGACGCAAGUCUGAUGGAGCAACGCCGCGUGAGUGAAGAAGGUCUUCGGAUCGUAAAACUCUGUUGUUAGAGAAGAACACGAGUGAGAGUAACUGUUCAUUCGAUGACGGUAUCUAACCAGCA